GACGAACGCUGGCGGCGUGCCUAAUACAUGCAAGUUGAGCGCUGAAGGUUGGUACUUGUACCAACUGGAUGAGCAGCGAACGGGUGAGUAACGCGUGGGGAAUCUGCCUUUGAGCGGGGGACAACAUUUGGAAACGAAUGCUAAUACCGCAUAAAAACUUUAAACACAAGUUUUAAGUUUGAAAGAUGCAAUUGCAUCACUCAAAGAUGAUCCCGCGUUGUAUUAGCUAGUUGGUGAGGUAAAGGCUCACCAAGGCGAUGAUACAUAGCCGACCUGAGAGGGUGAUCGGCCACAUUGGGACUGAGACACGGCCCAAACUCCUACGGAAGGCAGCAGUAGGGAAUCUUCGGCAAUGGACGAAAGUCUGACCGAGCAACGCCGCGUGAGUGAAGAAGGUUUUCGGAUCGUAAAACUCUGUUGGUAGAGAAGAACGUUGGUGAGAGUGGAAAGCUCAUCAAGUGACGGUAACUACCCAGAAAGGGACGGCUAACUACGUG
rnacentral:rRNA from 1 species